CCCGAAGUUCUUAAAACCUUGUCCUUGGGGCUUUAUGGAGGCAUCAUUACUUAGCCACAGACUGGCUAACUCAUUGGCCUUUGGCGAUGGAACCCAGUCUUCAGCCCUGCUUCCAACCCCGGAGGUCACAAGGUGGGCUGGAACCAGCCCUCUGAUCCCUUGGUUGGCUCUCCUGGCUGCCAGCCCCCCUCCUUAGAUGAGAAGCCACCUCAUUAACAUAACAAGAGACACCUUUAUCCUUUCAGAAAUGCCAAGGGUUUUAGGGGUUGUGUGCCAGAAACCAGGAUGGAGAAAUACGUAUUUCUUCAUAUAAAUCACAAUGCCACGGAGCCCGUGAGUUUGGGUGUCUGGGGGGACCUGGAUGGUGGUGGCGGCCCAGGGAGGCUGUCUCCCUUCAGUCCCAUUCUUGAGACUUGUUGAUGCAGACGGUGUUUUGGACGAUGCCAUCCUGAGGUCAGGAAGUGGGCAGGCUGCCCUUUCACUGUUAUCCCCAGACACAGACGAGUUGCUGGACUGUGUUCUUUGCCAGAAUGUCCUGGGCUCUGUGGCACCUUUCAGAAGUGUGUGAGGGACAUGAGCCGGCGUUCGAGCUGACUGCUGUGGGGUUUCUGUACUGGACGGACUCCUCAGGCCAUGAAGCCCCCAGCACUCCUCUGAGCCGCUUGCUCUGGUGGGACGGAGGCAGCAGGGAGGAACAGAGGCCGAGCGCGGUGCUGGGAGAUCGCUGGUCAGAUGGUGGGGGCGUGUGCAGUGCGGAUGCUCACGUCCGCCUGAGAGUGUGGCGUGAAUCCUGGCCCGAGCUCCCUGGGUGUCUCGCCUGCUAGGACGCAAGGUGUCCCUGUCAGCAGUGUGCCUGGUGGCCCGUGCGCACGUGCUUCAGAGCCCUCAUCCAGUCCCCUGGGCUGCAGCCUGACACGGUGGGGGCUCUGCUCCUCUGUGCUCGCCUGUCUUCCCUUGUCAUCAGCGCAAGGUGCCCUGGCUGCCGGUUGCACGGUCCGGACCGCAGGAGGUCCUCCCGCGUCCCCCACGCCGUCGGCUGGGCAGCCGAGCGAGGUCUUCCUCUUUCUCCCGAGCGCUGAGCGUCAGCCUUCAGGUCUAAUGCACCUGCACAGGCACUGCCCGUCAUUUGGUGCUCCGCUGACUGGGGGGGCGCCAGUCGGUGCUGCGGGCGUGGGCAAGGGAGUCCAGAAGUAGGAGAGGGAGCUUGGCCCCUUUGUGGCCUGAGGCUGCUCUCACUGUGGGGGUUCCUGCCCAGGGGUCCCCGAGCCCAGGGGUGCAGGAGACACUAAGGCCACGUUGGCUUAGUGGGUGUUUCCAGUAGGCUGUGGCCCUCUCUGAAUUGGUUGCCAGCACUGGUAUCUGCAGGGCACAGGGGGGCAGGGGGGACCAGCAAGCAAGAUAUGGUCCCAUCUGAGGAGACCCCUGUGCUGUGACGUUAGGCCAGCGAUGAGCAGCUCCAGACUGACGUUGCCACAGGUUGGAGUGCACCCCGGCAACAGUGGGCCCACACGGGGCAUUCUGGGAAGGCCCUCCAAGGGUGCGGCGUCGGUGCUUCCUCACCAGAUGCCUGCCAGGAAGCCCCGCAAGCCUGGACCCCGGGGUUAAGGGGCCGUGUGGGCUGUGUCUGGGCAGCAGCCAUGGACCCAUGUGGGCACGUCCAACCUCUGCCCCUCACGCCUGCUCCCUGUCCUGAGCUGCUGCUGCCCAUGGCGGGGGGGGACACCUCGAGGGGGUUGGGAAGUGGACACUUGUCUGCUCGGGGCACUGGAAAUCUGCAUAGCGCACAGUCCCUGUCCCUCUUGGCCUUGUCUAGUGACAGA